rnacentral:rRNA from 1 species
AACGCUGGCGGCGUGCCUAACACAUGCAAGUCGAACGAGAAAGUGGAGCAAUCCAUGAGUAAAGUGGCGACCGGGUGAGUAACACGUGACUAACCUACCUUCGAGUGGGGGAUAACCUCGGGAAACCGGGGCUAAUACCGCAUAAUAUCUUCGGGAUGAGAAGCCGAAGAUCAAAGGAGCAAUUCGCUGGAAGAGGGAGUCGCGGCUGAUUAGCUAGUUGGCGGGGUAAUGGCCCACCAAGGCUUUGAUCGGUAGCCGGCCUGAGAGGGCGCACGGCCACACUGGAACUGAAACACGGUCCAGACUCCUACGGGAGGCAGCAGUGGGGAAUUUUGCGCAAUGGGGGAAACCCUGACGCAGCAACGCCGCGUGGAGGAUGAAGUCCCUUGGGACGUAAACUCCUUUCGACCCGGACGAUAAUGACGGUACGGGUGGAAGAAGCCCCGGCUAACUACGUGCCAGCAGCCGCGGUAACACGUAGGGGGCAAGCGUUGUCCGGAUUUACUGGGCGUAAAGCGCGCGUAGGCGGCUUGUUAGGUUCCAUCGUGAAAGGCAGGGGCUCAACCCCUGGACUGCGAGGAAAACCGGCAGGCUUGAGAGAGGCAGAGGAAGGUGGAAUGGCUGGUGGAGCGGUGAAAUGCGUAGAGAUCAGCCGGAACACCCAAGGCGAAGGCAGCCUUCUGGGCCUCAUCUGACGCUGUGGCGCGAAAGCGUGGGGAGCGAACGGGAUUAGAUACCCCGGUAGUCCACGCCGUAAACGAUGGUCACUAGGUGUGGGGGGUAUCGACCCCCUCCGUGCCGGAGCUAACGCGAUAAGUGACCCGCCUGGGGAGUACGGCCGCAAGGUUGAAACUCAAAGGAAUUGACGGGGGCCCGCACAAGCGGUGGAGCAUGUGGAUUAAUUCGUCAUUAACCGAAGAACCUUACCAGGGCUUGACAUCCCGCGCUAGCCGGUGAAAGCCGGUGUUCCUCUGGGCAACCAGGGGACGCGGAGACAGGUGUUGCAUGGCUGUCGUCAGCUCGUGUCGUGAGAUGUUGGGUUAAGUCCCGCAACGAGCGCAACCCUCACGGCCGGUUGCCAUCAGGUAAAGCUGGGCACUUUGGCCGAACUGCCCCGGCAACGGGGAGGAAGGUGAGGAUGACGUCAAGUCGGCAUGGCCCGUAUGUCCUGGGCUUCACACAUGCUACAAUGGGGUGGACAGAGGGCUGCAAACCCGUGAGGGGGAGCCAAUCCCAAAAACCACUCCUCAGUUCGGAUUGGAGGCUGCAACUCGCCUCCAUGAAGUCGGAAUCGCUAGUAACCGCCGGUCAGCUAUACGGCGGUGAAUACGUACCCGGGCCUUGUACACACCGCCCGUCACGUCACCUGAGUCUGCUGCACCCGAAGUCGCCGGCCCAACCCGCAAGGGAGGGAGGCGCCUAAGGUGUGGCCGGUAAGGG